GUGCUCGCUUAGGCAGCACCGAUGCUGAAAUUGGACCGAUACAGAGAUAGAUUAGCACGGCCCUGCACAAGGAUGACACGCAAGUUCCAAGUUCGUGAAGCGGUCCAU